rnacentral:tRNA from 1 species
GUCGGGAUAGCUCAGUCGGUAGAGCAGAGGACUGAAA